AAACCACUGUCAGUGGGAAAGAUGGGUGUCGGGGCUAAUACCUCCGGCAUCUGACGGUACCUGCAGAGGAAGCCCCGGCCAACUCUGUGCCAGCAGCCGCGGUAAGACAGAGGGGGCAAGCGUUGCUCGGAAUUACUGGGCGUAAAGGGCGCGUAGGCGGGAUGGCAAGUCGGUCGUGAAAUCCCUCGGCUCAACCGAGGAACGUCGAUCGAUACUGCUGUUCUUGAGGAUUGCAGAGGAGACUGGAAUUCCCGGUGUAGCGGUGAAAUGUGUAGAGAUCGGGAGGAACACCGGUGGCGAAGGCGGGUCUCUGGGCAAUUCCUGACGCUGAGGCGCGAAAGCGUGGGGAGCAAACGGGAUUAGAUACCCCGGUAGUCCACGCUGUAAACGAUGACGACUAGGUGUGGGGGGGUUCAGUCCCUUCCGUGCCGCAGCUAACGCAUUAAGUCGUCCGCCUGGGGAGUACGGCCGCAAGGUUGAAACUCAAAGGAAUUGACGG
rnacentral:rRNA from 1 species